UACGUAGGGGGCAAGCGUUGUCCGGAUUUAUUGGGCGUAAAGAGCUCGUAGGUGGUUUGGUAAGUCGGAUGUGAAAUCUCCAGGCUCAACCUGGAGGGGUCAUUCGAUACUGCCAUGACUAGAGGUCGGUAGGGGAGUGUGGAAUUCCUGGUGGAGCGGUGAAAUGCGCAGAUAUCAGGAGGAACACCUAUUGCGAAGGCAGCUCGCUGGGACGUAACUGACGCUGAGACGCGAAAGCGUGGGGAGCAAACAGG
rnacentral:rRNA from 1 species